CUAUUAUCUUUGUAUACAAUUAGUGACUAUUUUUCUUUUCUUCCCCAGCAGAAAUUCUAAAAUAAAUCCAUCAGAAUGACACCUUCUCAGGUUACCUUUGAAAUAAGAGGAACUCUUUUACCAGGAGAGGUUUUUGCAAUAUGUGGAAACUGUGAUGCCCUGGGAAACUGGAAUCCUCAAAAUGCUGUAGCUCUUCUUCCAGAGAAAGAGUCAGGAGAAAGUAUGUUAUGGAAAGCAGUGAUUACUCUCUGUAGAGGAGUAUCAAUUCAGUACCGCUACUUCAGAGGGUGCUUUUUGGAACCAAAGGUAUGUUUUUCUUUCUUUUUCAAUUUCUUUAGGACUUUCAAAAGCAACUAAUUUAAGUUUGAAAACAUUACAAGUAAAAUGAGUCUGUUUUGGUCAAAUAGGAAUAGAACUCUCAAUAACAUUUUAGUACCAAAAAAAAAAAAAAAA